GACGAACGCUGGCGGCGUGCUUAACACAUGCAAGUCGAACGGUAAGGCCCUUCGGGGUACACGAGUGGCGAACGGGUGAGUAACACGUGGGUGAUCUGCCCUGCACUUCGGGAUAAGCCUGGGAAACUGGGUCUAAUACCGGAUAGGACUCCGGACUGCAUGGUCUGGGGUGGAAAGCUUUUGCGGUGUGGGAUGGGCCCGCGGCCUAUCAGCUUGUUGGUGGGGUGAUGGCCUACCAAGGCGACGACGGGUAGCCGGCCUGGGAGGGUAACCGGCCACACUGGGACUGAGAUACGGCCCAGACUCCUACGGGAGGCAGCAGUGGGGAAUAUUGCACAAUGGGCGCAAGCCUGAUGCAGCGACGCCGCGUGAGGGAUGACGGCCUUCGGGUUGUAAACCUCUUUCAGCAUCGACGAAGCGAAAGUGACGGUAGGUGCAGAAGAAGGACCGGCCAACUACGUGCCAGCAGCCGCAGUAA
rnacentral:rRNA from 1 species